CACAAAGCCACCCGUGUGUCCCUCUAUCCAUCCUAGGGUGCUGCCCAAUGGGAAGGAAAAUACCAGGAGCUCCCCAGCUUGCUCACCUCUCUUCCUACUGCUUGUUUGCAGAAGGUUUUUGGCACGCUGACCUGGCAGCCCACAGAGAAGCACGGCAGCUAUCAGUGCAAAGCGGCAGGGACCACGCGGCCUCGCCGGACCCAGCUUCAAACACAGCACAGGGCUCAGCAUGGGGCUUAGGGAAAAUGCUCUUACGGCAAUGAAGACCACCUUCAAACCAACUCUUGCAGCACUUUUGUAUGGGCUUUGUAUGCUGCCGUUAUCACUCUGAAAUUGCUGGAUCAGCCUGAAAAAAUGAAGAGUGUAGAGGUACCCAAGACUCUUUUUCCCCUUUUGAAAAGUUCUCAUACUGUAAUGAAAGUUAAUUUAGAGAACAAAGUGUGUUCUGUGUACAUGAGUUACUAUAUUAUAUAUGCAUAUGAAAUUUAUUGGUGGCCUUAGCCAGGAAUACCCUGAUGACCUUCCCCCCGAACAUCCUCCUUUGCCCCAAAUGAGACUCAAUAC
rnacentral:lncRNA from 1 species